AGUGAACGCUGGCGGUAGGCCUAACACAUGCAAGUCGAACGGCAGCACAGUAAGAGCUUGCUCUUACGGGUGGCGAGUGGCGGACGGGUGAGGAAUACAUCGGAAUCUACUUUUUCGUGGGGGAUAACGUAGGGAAACUACGCUAAUACCGCAUACGACCUACGGGUGAAAGCCGGGGAUCUUCGGACCUUGGGCGGUUGGAUGAGCCGAUGGCGGGUUAUCUGGUUGGGGGGGGAAAGGCCCACCAAGGCGACGAACCGUAGCUGGUGUGAGGGGAUGAUCGACCAACCUGGAACUGGGACACGGUCCAGACCCCUACGGGAGGCAGCAGUGGGAAAAUUUGGAAAAUGGGCGAAAGCCUGACCCAGCCAUCCCGGGGGGGUGAAGAAGGCCUUCGGGUUGUAAAGCCCUUUUGUUGGGAAAGAAAAGCAGCAGGUUAAAACCCCGCUGUUCUGACGGUACCCAAAAAAUAAGCACCGGCUAACUUCGU
rnacentral:rRNA from 1 species